GAUGAACGCUGGCGGCGUGCCUAAUACAUGCAAGUCGAGCGAACGGACGAGAAGCUUGCUUCUCUGAUGUUAGCGGCGGACGGGUGAGUAACACGUGGAUAACCUACCUAUAAGACUGGGAUAACUUCGGGAAACCGUAGCUAAUACCGGAUAAUAUUUUGAACCGCAUGGUUCGAAAGUGAAAGACGGUCUUGCUGUCACUUAUAGAUGGAUCCGCGCUGCAUUAGCUAGUUGGUAAGGUAACGGCUUACCAAGGCAACGAUGCAUAGCCGACCUGAGAGGGUGAUCGGCCACACUGGAACUGAGGCACGGUCCAGACUCCUACGGGAGGCAGCAGUAGGGAAUCUUCCGCAAUGGGCGAAAGCCUGACGGAGCAACGCCGCGUGAGUGAUGAAGGUCUUCGGAUCGUAAAACUCUGUUAUUAGGGAAGAACAUAUGUGUAAGUAACUGUGCACAUCUUGACGGUACCUAAUCAGAAAGCCACGGCUAACUACGUG
rnacentral:rRNA from 1 species